ACACGGCCGACGCGGGUCAAAGUGUAGCAUCUGUUCUUACCAGCACGAUGUCUGAUACGGGUUGUAUUUGGACCCAAAAUAUUAAACUUUUUUUUUUUCUGCAAGUUGGCGGAGCGCUUGAAGCCUGCUUCACCUCCGCCGCGGGUCGCCCGCUAUUGCAGUAUCUUCGGUAUUGGCCCACUGGUU